rnacentral:rRNA from 1 species
CGCAGCCGCGGUAAUUCCAGCUCCAAUAGCGUAUAUUAAAGUUGUUGCAGUUAAAAAGCUCGUAGUUGAAUUUCGGGGUUAGUAGGUUGGUCAUGCCUCUGGUAUGUACUGGUCUCACUGAUUCCUCCUUCCUGAUGAGCCGUAAUGCCAUUAAUUUGGUGUUGCGGGGAAUUUGGACUGUUACUUUGAAAAAAUUAGAGUGUUUAAAGCAAGCUAACGCUUGAAUACAUUAGCAUGGAAUAAUGAAAUAGGACGUUCGAUCCUAUUUUGUGGUUUCUAGGAUUGACGUAAUGAUUAAUAGGGAUAGUUGGGGGCAUUAGUAUUCAAUUGUCAGAGGUGAAAAUUCUUGGAUUUAUUGAAGACUAACUACUGCGAAAGCAUUUGCCAAGGAUGUUUUCAUUAAUCAAGAACGAAAGUUAGGGAUCGAAGACGAUCAGAUACCGUCGUAGUCUUAACCAUAAACUAUGCCGACUAGGGAUCGGAUGAUGUUUAAUUUUUAAUGUACUUCAUUCGGCNCCGU